GGAGUAAUGCGUGACCAACCUGCCCCAUGCUCCAGAAUAGCUCUUGGAAACGGGUGGUAAUGCUGGAUGCUCCAACUUGACGCAUGUCUUGUUGGGAAAGUGUUUAGUGGCAUGGGAUGAGGUCGCGUCCUAUCAGCUUGUAGGCGGGGUAAUGGCCCACCUAGGCUUCGACGGGUAGCCGGCCUGAGAGGGCGGACGGCCACAUUGGGACUGAGAUACGGCCCAGACUCCUACGGGAGGCAGCAGUC
rnacentral:rRNA from 1 species